UACAGGGGGGGGCAAGCGUUGUUCGGAAUUACUGGGCGUAAAGGGCUCGUAGGUGGCCGACUAAGUCAGACGUGAAAAUCCCUCAGCUUAACUGGGGAACUGCGUCUGAUACUGGAUGGCUUGAGUUUGGGAGAGGGAUGCGGAAUUCCAGGUGUAGCGGUGAAAUGCGUAGAUAUCUGGAGGAACACCGGUGGCGAAGGCGGCAUCCUGGACCAACACUGACACUGAGGAGCGAAAGCCAGGGGAGCAAACGGG
rnacentral:rRNA from 1 species